rnacentral:rRNA from 1 species
UACGAGGGGGGCAAGCGUUGUUCGGAAUUACUGGGCGUAAAGGGCGUGCAGGCGGUCUGUUAAGUGCAGGGUGAAAGCUCCCGGCUCAACUGGGAGAGGUCCUUGCAUACUGGCGGACUUGAGGGGGGUAGAGGAAAGUGGAAUUCCCGGUGUAGUGGUGAUAUGCGUAGAUAUCGGGAGGAACACCUGUGGCGAAGGCGGCUUUCUGGGCCCUACCUGACGCUGAGACGCGAAAGCGUGGGGAGCGAACCGG